GUUCUACUGGUGUUACUGGUUCUGCUGGUGAGAAGAAUUGUUCACAGGAAACCUGAAGAUCAAGGUGAACCUGCAGAAGAAGACAUCACGUACAGUGACAUCAAAAUAUCACCUCAUCAUCAUAAGCCAACCAAAACAAUCAAAGAGAGUGAUCCAGCAGCAGUCUACUCUGCAGUAAGAACAGAAGAUGUCAGUUAUGGUCGAAUCAUCAUCAAAGAGAAGAAAACCAGAUCAAAGACAAGAGGUACAGCUGCUCUUCUUUGUCUCCGUCUGUGGUGUUUUGAUUCUGUGUGACCCAGUUAACAGGUAACAGCAGCAUUUUGAAAAACCUGACAAUCCAGAUUAUCCAGGACAGAUUUACUUAAAGUGCAUUUUAAAACAAGAAUUACAGAAGUGGCUACAGGAGCGACCAUCUCCUGGUGAGAAAAUUCAGAAUUCAAUUUACUAACAUUUUUCAUGUAGACAUAAUAAAACAAAACAAACAAAAUAAAUCUAAAACAAAUAAGAUUUAGAGAUAUUUUUAAAAUUGGUCUUGUGUUGUGGGUUGAUUCAAGGUACAUUAGAAAAAUAUUCCUUUUACCUAUGCAGAUUGUUUGUUAAAUAUAAAAAAUGUAGGCUACAAGAAAUUCCACAAAUAAGACCUAACAACAAUAAGACCUCAUUUGAUAAGACUGACCAUUAUCAAAACUAAUAAGUGUGGCCAAGCUUGUCCUUAACUAAUAAUAUAGACUCAGCCAAAAGUACACCUUACAUCCGUAACAUUGUCAAGUGUGUUGCAACUUUUUGGUAGUCCCAAAUUCAGCUCUGAUUAAGCUAAAGUGUGUCUUUUGUCUUAUCUUCCUCCACUCACCUCCAACUAGAGUUUUUCCUUCUCACUGUCACCAAGUGGGGGAUCAUUUGAUUGUUGGAAUUUUCUAUGAAUUCCUGUAGGAUCUUUACCUUUCAAUAUAAAUUGACUUGUGGGGACUGCUCUGAUUUGGUUCUAUUUGUAUAAAAUUGAAUUCAAUAGAAUAGAAUAGAAUUGCUAUCUGGGUUUCAUACAGACAAGUUAUUAGCAAUGUGAAUAUCAAUACAUAUGAGUAUGAAGUGUAUAAAUAGACAAAUGUAUUACAAUGAAUCUUUUUAACUGCUCAAAAAGUUCUGUGAGUAAAACCGCAGCAGCUACGUCCUGUAAUCAGAAGCUGAUGGUACUUCCUACCACACUGUUCUGGUUUGGCCAAUUGCAGUGUUGUUGUGAGAACAUAUUUCCUUUGUUCUCUGUGGUGAAGUUUCAGUUUGCAGUAAAAGAGGUGGCAGCUCUGUGGUUGGGCACCUUCCCUGUUCACAUAAGCACCUACCAGUUACAUGUAGUCACUUUUUGUUCUCAGCAGAGGUGUUAAGAAAUGGAAAAAAAAAAGGCUGUGAAAAGCUACAGCUACUUACAAAAGUCAAACUUAAAAAUGUAUUUUUAACUGUCUAAUUGUAGCGUCCCUAUGCUCUAUAAUGUGUCCAAAACUUGGUACCCAAGUUUGGACCAAAGUAGUUGGGGUGUUGGGUUUGAUGUAAAGUACUAACAAUGUUUUAUUGUUUGGAAUAAUCUGAUAGCAACUUUAAUUAUAAGCACACUUACUUAAAAAAUAAGCUAUUACCACUUGGGUUCACUUACACUCUUACACUUGCUCAAAAUGUUGCAAUGCUCUUUGUUGCCCCUUGCAGCAUGCCAUGAAAUGCCUUUUCAUCCAUUAAGUAGUGACAGAGAAAGUUAAACUUGAUUUAGACUUCGUUGGGAAAUCUACAUCAUGACUUUGCAUAAAAAGUUCCCCUCUCGCCCUGUGGGCAGUCUUUAUCCUUCAAACUCGGGUCCUCUACCAGAGGGCUGGGAACUUGAGGGUCCUGUGCAGUAUGUUUGCUGUUUCUAGGACUGAGCUAUUCUGGACACAAGAUUCGAGUAUUGUUCCUGAGAUCUGCUAGAGCCACUCUCCCAGCUUGCUGGUC